ACGUGGUUAUUUUCUUAGAUCGUACAACCAACGUGGUAAUGCUGGCAUAAUAAUUCCCGGUUGCCAUUUUCUGACAUUUGAAAAGAUCUGAAGAUACGCCCCUUGGAUGCCUGCAGAGAAGCUCUGGGGCUUCAGUCAAUGACUCAGGGUAGCCACCGAACAUGAUGCUCGGGCAGUGGGUGCCACCUGGACUCCACUCUCCCCUCUCUCUGGGAUCAUAGAGUCCAAGGUGUUCUGUGGCCUCUCGGCCAAUCCCAGCAGCUCAGCGUGCAGAAGACCGAGGAGCCAUUGGAAUUCAACACAACACGAAAUAAUCAACAAAUUCGGGGAAUGUUAAUCUGACCAUCACCAGUUACAAAUGAUGUUUCAUGCUACCUUCUAUUCCUGCCUUCAUAAAUCAAGGAAAAGAAAAAGAGAACAUAUAUCCCCCUACCUUUUGAUUUCCAACAGUCUACUGAGAGGCCAAGAUUAUUUGCAGGGAAAGAAAAGGGGUCAAAAUGUUUUGCCAGUAACUCCCAAAUCAUCUACAGCCAAGGAGAAAAGUGUUUCAAGACAGAGGUGCUCAAUGGUAUCAAAUACUGCCAACAGACCAAGUAAUACAUGCAUUGAAGUGUCUACUGGAUCUAGCUAUAUGAAUUUUUAAUUUAGGACACUUAGGCCAUACUGAAGCAAGGUGACAAAAUGAAUAGCUACAAUGUCUCGUGAAUCUUGGGUUUCCAUUCACCCUGGUAUUCAAGAGAAAUUCUUGCAUCAUGGAAGUUGCAGUUGGAUAGGACUUUCUCAGCUGAACACUGUCAUCUGCCAGAGCUUCAGGCAAGAACCCAGAACAGAUGAAACCCCAGACAUGACAAAAUAAGCCAAAGAAUACCAGGCCAAGGUGUGAAAGGCCAGAUGAGAACAAGCAGCGUACACGAUUCUGUUGCCAACAGAUCUCCCCUAACAGUGUCGUGCACCAAAUUUCCACAGUGAAUGUCAGGAAAAAAUGGCAAUUGAGGUGGGUGGUCAAAAGAGAAGCACAGUCUAUGAUGAAGUCACCCCAGAGAAGUCCUUUUUCCGUUUUCUCCUGAGAAAUUACCAGAAGAAAUUAAAAUCCUUUUGAGUAUUGCAUUUAUCUCUGCAGUAACAUUAUUUUUUCUUAAGGAAUCUCUAUCAAAUUUGCAUCUUGUCUAAUUUAGCAGGGAAUGUCACCAGGAUAAGACAACUGCAAAACCCAUUUGGGUGUGCCAAAUGACUUCAACCGAACCUCCAUGCAAACAACAUACAAGAUGCUUUCUUACUAAAUGCUCAAACAUCAAGUUCUACAUCCAGAACUGCCCCUCAACCCUCACCCUCUCGAACUCAGUAAAAAACAACCCUCUUUCUAGCUCUGCAUUUCCAAUGAAUGCCUCUUCCUCCAGACAUCCCUAGUUUUUGUUCAUGAUACUAGGACAUUCCUAAACUGGAAAUGUGAGAAUCAUGUGGACUGCUCGCUCCCUCCUUCAUUGCCUGAGUUUAAGCAAAUAAUAUUGAUUAGUUUUCCCCAA
rnacentral:lncRNA from 1 species